rnacentral:rRNA from 1 species
UACGGAGGGGGCUAGCGUUGUUCGGAAUUACUGGGCGUAAAGCGCACGUAGGCGGACCGACAAGUCGGGGGUGAAAUCCCGGGGCUCAACCCCGGAACUGCCUCCGAAACUGUCGGUCUGGAGGUCGAGAGAGGCGAGUGGAAUUCCGAGUGUAGAGGUGAAAUUCGUAGAUAUUCGGAGGAACACCAGUGGCGAAGGCGGCUCGCUGGCUCGAUACUGACGCUGAGGUGCGAAAGCGUGGGGAGCAAACAGG